GAACAGAACAGGUUUGAAGUUGAUUCUGUUUAUUCCACAUAUUGCGGAUACGUACACAGAAUUUAAGAUUUUGGACUGAGCGGGACGCGAUGUCGGAGUUGCUGCGAAAUGUUGGUGGUGGAUACAAAAAAAGUUUUGACGCCUCACAAACUUCAUAUUGAAAGUUAAAAGGAUUAAAUAGUGGACUCGUACUGCGCAUGUGAAGCAGGGAGGUGAAUGGAGGACCCCAGCAGUCUCUGGAGCUCGGGAACGCACCGCACCAAGUGCACCAGCCCCUCGUCCUCGUCCUCCUCCUCCUCCCCGUCCUCGUCUUUGUCCCUGCCGGCGGAAUCCAGGGGCGAGCCCACCUGGCUGACGUGGACCUGCCGGGCCAGCUCGGCGCGGGGCAGGCCGGCCACCUCCAGGGUUGCGGGAAAGAUGGAGCCUAUCCCAGCGAGCUCUGUCUGGGCGAAAGGUGGGCUACACCCCGAGCUGGUGGCCAGUCAGUCGCAGGGCAGAUAUCGACACCACCACUGAGCGGGAAUCGACCCCAUGCCUCCCCCACCUAAAGGCAGGCAUCUGUACCACUACACCAUCAGUGACUCCUGUCGACUUGAACCGGGAAAAAAAAGCGCCCGCGACGACGACUCCGCAGGCCUCGACUCGACUCGACUCUCUCCAACCGCCGAACGGCCGCGUUCUCCCGUUUCCUCGACGCCAAGGCGGAACUCACCAAACAAGGAGCUGCUGUAGAAGUCCCAGUGC